UUUCUUUGAAUUCUCUUACCUCUUAUAUAAUUCAGACAUAGGUCAAGUGGUAACUUAAGAAUCACAGUCCUGAUGAAAUAUGUUUGUUUAAGAAUUGGUGAAUAAUUACUUUUGUAUCAUAGAAGGAAAGCCUGGUCAGAUUUUUUUGAAUCUUAUUCCUUCGAUUUCAGGCCUUCAAGAUGUUGCCCAGAGAAAAGGUACAAAUAGCCACAAAGUUUGGGGUUGUAGGACUAAGAGAUAAUGGCGUGAUCGUGAAGGGCACCCCUGAUUACGUGCGCUCGUGUUGUGAAGCUAGCUUGAAGCGACUUGAUGUGGAUUACAUUGAUCUAUAUUAUCAACAUAGAGUGGACACAUCAGUCCCCAUAGAGGAAACCGUGAGCGAUUUGUUUUUUUUUUUUAUUUUUUUUUUUGGGCUAUCUGAAUUGUAGAGUUCUGUCCCAAAUUUCAAAAUUUAAAGAAUUAUUUUAGAAACUCUAUUACUUGUCAUGCUAUAGGUUGGCGAAAUGAAGAAGCUGGUGGAAGAGGGUAAAAUCAAGUACAUUGGAUUAUCUGAGGCCAGCCCAGACACAAUUAGGAGGGCACAUGCUGUUCAUCCCAUCACAGCUGUACAAAUGGAAUGGUCCCUCUGGACUCGUGAUAUUGAGGAAGAGAUAAUACCCCUCUGCAGGUUUGUUCUUCUUUUAGUGAACACUAUCCGCAUUAGUCUUUUCUUCUACAGGCCUUUGAAGGGUGUCUAAGGACCUAUUUAUUUGUUCCAAUCUAGUAUUUUGUACCUAAUGUUUGUAGAAUUUUUUAAAUUUAAUUGCAUGCAUAGAGUAGAUUAGAUUUUCUGUGCAAGUGUAUGCUAAUAAAUACAAGGCUGCCCUUCUGAUACAUUGAGGUGGGCAGGGAACUCGGCAUUGGAAUAGUUCCAUACAGUCCUCUUGGUCAUGGAUUUUUUGGUGGCAAAGCUGUUGUGGAGAGUGUACCUGCAGAUAGCUUUUUGGUACUUUUUCCAAUCAAUGUUUAUCCGCAUCAUUUUGUUUCGUAAGUCAGUACUAUAUAAAAUGUUUUAAACUAGCAAAAGUAGUUUUACAGUUUCUUUAACUGUUUUAUAUAUCGUCGUACAUAUGAAAAUGAUAUGUGUGUUUGUUUUAUAAGCAUUUUCUUCCUAGGUUCAAAGGAGAGAACCUGGACAGGAACAAGAGUAUUUAUUUUCGCAUAGAGAACCUUGCCAAAAAGUACAAUUGCACUUCUGCUCAACUAGCCCUAGCAUGGGUUCUUGGACAGGGGGAUGAUGUCGUACCUAUUCCCGGUAACUUCUUUCUUUCGAGUUUUUGAUUCAUGUAUUGCCUUGAAGAAGUAUAUAGAGUUUAAAAAACCCAGCGGAUAAAAUGAUAUUACCAGCAAUAUUACUUACUGUUAAGUUGCUUCAAUUUUCAGGGACAACUAAGAUUAAAAACCUUGAUGACAAUAUUGACUCCUUGAGGAUUAAACUUACAAAAGAGGAUCUGAAAGAAAUUUCUGACGCUGUGCCCGUAGAAGAGGUAGCAGGAGACAGAGACCCGGAAGGCUUUGAUAAAGCAUCGUGGAAGUUUGCAAACACACCUCCAAAAGACUGCAAGGUUUGAACUUAAAAUAGUUCUUGAUGCUGCCUAUCUUACUUGGAGCUGGGAUGCAAUAGUUUAUUCAAAUAAUGGCAGAUAAAUGCCAAAUUAUCUGUACAAUCUACGACUUGGCUAUCUGCCUAUUUGAUGUUAAACUUUGAUUAUUACGAUCUACUAUAUGUUUGGAAAUUUAGCAUGGCCAAUUUGUGAAAUGAAAAUAUGCAUGUUUGAACUUUUCUAAGUUAAAGCUGAAUUCCAAGUUACUAUAAAAGCUUGCCAACUCUCUUUCCUUGAAAAUAAAGAUUGGAAAUAUCCAAAUUUUGGAUUGUAACAAUUUGCUUGGAUUUUACUUCAUCAUUGUAUGGAUAUAUGUUGAAAAAUUUUCAGCGUUUUUGAGUUCCAUGAAUGGGACAUGAAUGAAAUCUAUGAACCAUAUCUUAGCUAGCAGUUUCUCAACAAGACCUGGAGGAUACUUUAUUGAAAAUAUAGUUUCUCAACAUAAUACAUUGUCACUGCAACUUGAGUGGUUAAAUGAUAAAAGGUGAAUAUGUGUUGUUCAGAAAUAAGAAUAAUUGCAUAAAUUGUGAAGUUAACAAUUGCUAUUUAGGAGGCUCAAUUGACACAUUGAUAAACUUUCUAAUUCCUUUAGCAACAAGGCACCAGUGGUCCAGCGGUAGAAACAACCCCCCACCCCCCGGCGGGCGGGUAUAGUAAUCAGCCCCAACGUCGAACAAUUUUUAUUGCUGCCUUCUUUUGAUUAGUUCCAAAUCCUGCUUUAUUUUGUUAGUCCAUGGUACAAAGUACAAAACAGCAACGGGUAAUUUUUAGGGAUCUCCCUUGAGGUUUAGCGUAUUAACACAUAGAGCGAAUAUAUCCACUUAAUUACAAGCACCUCCCCUUCCGUUAGUAUUUAAAUACGUAUGGUAUCAGUAUAUAAGGGUAAAUAUGUAAAAAUAUAUUUAAAAUUCAAAAAAAUUCAAAAGUGCAGCUUUAUGUUUCUUGAUGUUCUGAGAUAAUCUGAAAAAAUUGUAAGGGUUUAGAACGGUGGAGUAAUCGUCGUUUAAAUGAAUGAUAUGUCAUCUAUGCGUUGUAUGAGGUUAUAGCAACUAUCUAUCUGGUCACCGUUUUCAAGUCUCAAUUGGUAGUCCAAAGAAAAGAAUGAUUCUACAGUAGCAUUAAGUGUUAAUUGGACACAAAAAGAAGUGUUUUAACCACUUUAAGGAAAAUAAAUGUAAUUUUCUGUCCUAAAGAAAAGGUAAAUGUAUGCACUGUCAAUUAAUCUUUGGUCGACCAACAACAUCAUAAUUUCGCCUGGAUUGGUGGCGCACAAAGAAAGCCCUGAACUGGGGUCCUGACGACGGCCUAGAUCUCAUCGUCGACGAUGAUGGUGACGCCACAUUGUUGAUCCAUGAGGGAGUCAAAGCCGCUGUUGUUUGCGGUUAUGGUGAUGUUGGCAAGGGUUAUGCUGCUACUUUGAAGCAAGCCGGUGCUCGUGUAAUUGUUACCGAGAUUGAUAUGUACUACGAUGAUCUGUACGAGGAUGUUAGGUUUAAAUUUCGUAGGAGUGUGUGUUUGGGUGGUGGGAAAGUUGGGAGGAAAGAAACGGAUUGGUUUCAGUUGAUUGAAGACCAUUUGAGAUUUGAAUAAUGUUUUGGAUGGGGCUGUGUGAAUUAUUUUGUAUUUGAUGCAGUUUUAAAGUUUUGAUUGCUUUGCUGCAUCUUGUUAUCCUAUUGUUUACUGAUGAAUGAUUAAAAAAAAAAAGAAUUUUUAUUCCAGUUUCAUAUCUACAUAAAAAAUCAUUAUGAAAAAUUAAGGCCAAUUCGAUCAUUUAUAAUCAUUUUACAAUAUAAGGCUCAAAGCUCUCUGCUUGUGAUAUUUUAAGAUCAUUUUACCAUUGCAAUUGACAGUCUAAUCUUUUUUCUUAAAGUCCUGUUUUAUAAUUUAUUAUUAUGAUAUAAAGGAUACUUUUGUAAUUUCAAUAGUCUGUUAGUAGUCAAAUUAACUGAAUACUAACGACAAACGACUAGGGAGGUACUUGUAAUUACUUGGAUACAUUCUCUCUAUGUGUUAAUACGCUAAAUCUCAAAAGAGGUUCGUAAAAAUUACCCAAACAGCAACACCAGUAACUCUCUUACGCUCUCCUUUAAUAAGGGUUAAGCUAAGCUAACAGCUUUUCCAAAGAUGGCAGAAAAGAACAAAAUCCAAAUUCCAACAGUGAUAUUUGGAUUUCCGAUUUGCAGUUUCAAUUUUUUUUUUCUGUUUUUUUUUUCCUUUAAUGCUGAUAAUUCGUUUUCUCUAAUGAUGGCCAGUGGGCCGUGCCGGCACCAAACGUCGGCCCACACAGGCUCGUUGGCUGGCACCGCACGCCCCACUAAUUUGGUGGGCCGUGCCCACUUUUUUUAUAAGAGCCCGGCACAGCCCACCAACCUCUUUUUUUUUUUUUUUUGUCCACAUGUCCAACAUACUUAAAAAAACUUACGUGUCUGGCGUAUUUUAUUCAAGAGCACGUGUCCGGCAUACUUUUUUAAGUCCACCAGCCUAAUAAUAAUAAUAAUAAUAAUAAUUUCAUAAAUCAUAAUAAUAAUUAAUUAAAAAUAAAAUUACAAUUUUAGAAUAACAAUUACAUCUAAUUUUAUUUGAACUACUAAUAUUAUAAUUGCACAUAAACUCCAUUGAAUGAAAAUGUAAUUUUUAAUUUAUCAUAAAAAUAUUUUGUUCAUAAUUUUAUUUUUUUGUGUAUAAAUAUGAAAAAUAUUUCAUUCACAAAUGAAACAUAUCUCCAUUAACUAUUAACUAAGUUAUGAUUUCAUAAAUGAAAUAUUAAUGUCGUAAAAUUUUUUAUUUAUCAUUUAUAAAAUCAUGAUAUUUAUUUAUCCAUUUAAUAAAUUAUAAACAUAAAAAAAAUUAGAAUAUUUAUUUAAACUAGGACUUAAAUUAAUUUUAAAAAGCCUAUGCUAAAAAAAUAUAUUAAAAUUUUAAUUUCAAGAUAUUUAUAAAAUCAUGAUAUUUUAUAUUUAUUUUUCAUUAAAAUUUUUUAUUUUGAUAUAUUUUGACCCACAUGCUAUUGGUGGCCCACGGGCCGCGUGCUUAGCCCACUAAUGAAGCGUGCUUAUUACGUGCCUUUUCGCGUACCGUGCUUUGGCCCAUAUUUAAUCGUGCUGUGCUUUUAAGGCCCGCGUGCCUAAAAUUCUAGGCUCGGCACGGCCCACGUGCGUGUCAUGCCGUGCCUCGUGCCCUACCGAAACGUGCUCGUGUUGUGCCGUGCCUUGUGCCGCCCGGCCCAUUGGUCAUCUCUAAUUUUCUCUGACUGUGUUUUUUUGCUUUCACAGGUUUCAAAGCUGGAGUUUGAAUGCAUGAGCCUAAGUGGAGGUUACAGUUCUCUAGUCUCUGAAGAGGAUGGCAUCUCAAUAAGAAAGCAUGCUUUCAACAAAGGAAUCACUCUUUUUUUUUUUUUUUAACUAAUUAAGCAUCAUGUUACUGUAUUACAUAGACAUUUACAAUUGCUAUGACAGUAGAUCAUUAUACUGAUAUUUACAAUUAAAUAUAUAAUUGGGACUUAUAUUAUUACAUUAUUAAUUUUAUGAAAUACAUGCCAGACAAAUAAUCCUCACGAAAGAAUGAUGUCUUUACUCCACUCGCAUUUCAGAAGGGAGAAAUACUUCACAAAUAAUUUUCACAAAAUUAUGUUUAAUUGAGAGAGGUUGAGUUCAUGGAGACUCGAACCAUUGCCCUCAUAGUCAUGCUUAACUUUAAGGCCAAUGGUUCACCACUAGGCUAAAGCCUAAGUGGCAGGAACCACUUUCUUUGAUACUGCUUAGUGCUGAUAGAUAUGGACCUUACACUAACGAAAUUCUUCUUAGAAAGUUAAUAAUUAUGAAAAUGGCAUAAAAUGAAAUUAUCUUAUCAUGGAAUAACAUUUUAAAAGAAAAUCCAAAAUCCAAAUAGGUUAUAUUUAUGUUAAAAUUCUAAAUAAAAAAAAUCAUAAAUUAGUAACUAAAUUAACUUAAUAAGAAUAACAUUGUCGUAUUACACAAAAAAAAAAAUCAUUUUGAUGAAUAUUUAAUGUUUGUAAAAUAAAUUAAAUUGAUUAGGGUAAUAUGGACUUUUUAUUAUAAAAUAACCUAAAUUGUUAGGGAAAUAAUUAACUGUAGCAUUGUUAAAUUUAAAGGGGAAAGUAGUAUUUCUAACUUAUUGAGUUAUUUCCAUAAUAAUAACCUAAAUAUGUUUGUUUAAGGUUUUGGCAAAUAGCUACUCUUAGACAUUACUAAGAAUAUCUGAAGAUGAAAAUCAAAUCACUGUUAAAAUUACCCCUGAGAAGCCACGAAGUUUGGGACUACAGAAAUAGAUACCCCUGAGUAUGUGCUCUGCCUUGUUGUGAAGCAAGCUUGAAGCACCUUGAUUUGAUUAUUAAUUGGCUUGACUUCCCUCUAAUUUUGGAUAAUUUCCUUAUAUGCUUUUCACUAAAAACAAAUAAAUUUACAAAGAAUACAUGCAUAGAUAACUUUCUUUCAAAUUUAAAAUGAAAAAUAAAUUGCGAAAAGAAAUUGUGAAUCUGAUGAUUCUUUUAAUAAAAAAAUUUACUGAUUAUAUGGUCAAAUCGAGACUGUAAAUUUCUCUCCUAAGUUCUACCUGACAUUUUGCAAAGUCUAGGGGAUAUUUCUUAACUUUUAAAAUAUUUUGAACUUGUUUCCAAUUACACUGAACUUUGGGACACUUGUCAAAACUUUAUAAGUUCAUGAUUAAUCAUGAUAAAGAUAAAGAGCACGUGUCCCAGCUUAACACUUUUAGUCAUACGGAGCCUUCGACUUGGAGCCAAACCAGAAUCCUCUGUCUCAUUCUGCUCAUUGUUGACGUUAGAGUCAACUGUCUCUCUACUUAUUGAAACUUGAAAGACACCCAAAACAAAGAAACCAAAACUACAGCUUCAAAAAUGGCAGAAGAGAAACUCCAAGUUCCAAGAGUGAAACUUGGUACCCAAGGCCUCGAGGUAAACUACCCAUAUGUAAUUUUUUUUUUAAAAUCAAAUCCUGGAAAUUUGUUUUUCAUGGUCUUACAGGUUUCAAAGUUGGGGCUUGGAUGCAUGAACCUGAGUUCUGGUUAUAGCUCUCCAGUCUCAGAAGAGGAUGGCAUCUCCAUGAUAAAACAUGCUUUCAGUAAAGGAAUCACUUUCUUUGAUACUGCUGAUGUGUACGGACAAAAUGCUAAUGAAACUCUUCUGGGAAAGGUUAUGGUCAUUUCUUUGAAUUCUCUUACUUCUUAUAUAAUUCAGACAUAGGUCAAGUGGUAACUUAGGAACCACAGUCCUGAUGAAAUAUGUUUGUUUAGGAAUUGGUGAAUAAUUACUUUUGUAUCAUAGAAGGGAAACCUUGUCAGAAUUUUUAGAAUUUUAUUGAAUUAAAAAAAAAAAAAAAGAGUACUCCUUCGAUUUCAGGCCUUCAAGAUGUUGCCCAGAGAAAAGGUACAAAUAGCCACAAAGUUUGGGGUUGUAGGACUAAGAGAUAAUGGCGUGAUCGUGAAGGGCACCCCUGAUUACGUGCGCUCGUGUUGUGAAGCUAGCUUGAAGCGACUUGAUGUGGAUUACAUUGAUUUGUAUUAUCAACAUAGAGUGGACAUCGGUCCCUAUCGAGGAAACCAUGAGUGAUAUUUUUUCUCCCGGGCUAACUAUCUGAAUCGUAAAGUUCUGUCUUAAAUUACAAUAUUUAAAGAGUUUUUUAGAAACUAUAUUCCUUGUCAUGUUAUAGAUUGGCGAAAUGAAGAAGCUGGUGGAGGAGGGUAAAAUCAAGUACAUUGGUUUGUCUGAGGCUAGCCCAGACACAAUUAGGAGAGCACAUGGUGUUCAUCCCAUCACAGCUGUACAAAUGGAAUGGUCCCUCUGGACUCGUGAUAUCGAGGAAGAGAUAAUACCCCUCUGCAGGUUUGUUCUUCUUUCAGUGAACACUAUCCACAUUAGUCUUCUCUUUUACAGUCCUUUGAAGAGUGUCUAAGGACCUAUUUACCUUUUCCAAUCUAGUAUUUUGUGUCUAAUGUCUGUAGAAUUUUAAAAAAAAUAAUUGCUUGCUUAGAAUAGAUUAGAUUUUCUGUGCAAGUAUAUGCUAAUAUAUACAAGGCUGCU
rnacentral:lncRNA from 1 species